UGGGGAAUAUUGGACAAUGGGCGCAAGCCUGAUCCAGCCAUGCCGCGUGAGUGAAGAAGGCCUUAGGGUUGUAAAGCUCUUUCACCCGCGAAGAUGAUGACGGUAGCGGGAGAAGAAGCCCCGGCUAACUCCGUGCCAGCAGCCGCGGUAAUACGGAGGGGGCUAGCGUUGUUCGGAAUUACUGGGCGUAAAGGGCGCGUAGGCGGAGAUCCAAGUCAGAGGUGAAAGCCCUGGGCUCAACCCGGGAACUGCCUUUGAAACUGGAUGUCUAGAGUCCGGGAGAGGAUGGCGGAAUUCCCAGUGUAGAGGUGAAAUUCGUAGAUAUUGGGAAGAACACCGGUGGCGAAGGCGGCCAUCUGGACCGGUACUGACGCUGAGGCGCGAAAGCGUGGGGAGCAAACAGGAUUAGAUACCCGCGUAGUCC
rnacentral:rRNA from 1 species